GCCUCUGCCCUUCACAAUGACUUUCUUCAAGCACUUGCAUUUGAAUGUUGCUUUCCCCUUUCUGGAUGAUUAUCUGUCCUCUGCUGUAAGGAGAUGAAGACAUAUACCAUUCUGAACCACAUUUGAGGGUGUUUCCAACUAAGCUUGGUGAGGGAUGAAGCUAUAAGGACUCAUUGCCAAGAAAUGCUAGUGGAUACACACCUUCACCCCUCUUGCAGAGAACUAUUGAUGGGCUCACGUGGCUGAGAUAUUUAUGAAGAAACUUCUUGUACAAGGUUAAAGCACACACACUGGGAAAGGAAAGCAGCUGCCUUCUAAGCUGUACUCCAAUGAGUUUAUGGAGACGUCGUGGCAGUUGAAUUUAUACGAGCUGAACAGCUUCAAAAGAAAUGCUGAGUAGUCCUUACUGCUGCACAACUGAUGGCCAAGUCCAGGGAGGACAUUCAGAGGGAGGAACCCAGCCCUUCCCAAACCAGGUCACAGGAUUCAGCCUCAGCCUGCCUCUUCCCAGCUCAGCAAUGCAAUUAAUGACCUUCUGGGUGGGAAGGACACAAGGGACUGUGUUCUGCAUGAGGUCCAUAACAUCCAUCACAUUGGGUCCUUCAGGAAUGACAGCUGGGAAACAUCAUCAGCUGUGAUUCAGGCUCAUCUGCUCAGCCAACAAAGCAGCCAGUAACUCCAGGGUUUGAAGACAUCUGAUUUGAGGUUUUGAGGACAUUCCUUUAAGCAUUUGAUCCAAAACCACAGCUACAGAGCUUGGAAUACUCUAGUAAGUCUAGCACAUAACAUUUAAACAAUAUAAAACCUUUGCUGUGAUGCAAACAUUAUAUGACAAAAAAAAAACAGUAUAACAAAAGCUGCUUUUAGAACGUCUAACUGGGUUAAAUUCCAUUAUUAUCUUAAGUAAGGCUAAAAACUAUAGGCGUAUAUUUUCCACAAUCUGCUAAUUGUUAAUUAAUAUCCAAGAUAACAAAAGAAACCCACUAUAUCACUCAGAUUUAAUGAUCUUGUGCUGGAAAAUGUUCCGAAUUGCCCUUCUUUGAAAUACUCAGCUCACCAGAAACUUCCCCAUAAGUCUUUUAGUUUCUUCUCCACUGAAGGGUGCUCUGAAAUCUUCACCUUUUCCUUUCAGGUGUUUAUACAGAAGAUGACCACUGAUAGCAUGAACAACUUUUACUGUUCCUUGAGCUUGGAGUUCAUAAUGCUGUUUGGACAUUAUAAGCCCUUAAGUACUGUAACAAAGUGAACGUUCAGCUCCAGGAAUUUCAAAUCCAGGCGAAGUGAACUUGCUGAUUAACUCUGUGAAUGAAUUUCGUGGUUUAGUAGAGGCUCUGAUGACAGCAAAUGAAAAUCUGUCUUAAACUGUAGUAAAACCUGCAGGAAAUACAAGGCACCUGCUGAGAAAUCAGCUUUCUCUUUAGCUAUUACGUUUAAUCUCUUUGACUCUUGUCUAGUUCUUCUAGGUUAGUGGGAACAUAGGUAUGGAUUUUACAGUGCUGUCAUCACCAGUGAAAUGCUCAUAUUAAUCUAGAUUUGUAUGCUAUAUGGCUGUUGGCAAUGAGGACAGUUAACAUUCCAGUAUCAAUUUCCCUUCAAGGAUACUGAAGAGCGUUGGAAACAUUAAGCUUUGAGGCUAGUAAUUUACUAAUGAGAACACUGAUUCAAAGAGAAAUUAGAACCUUAAUCUCUCACCCAGUGAAGCCAAUAGAAAUCAUUUUGUGAUUUCCUUGGGCAGACUCUGUGUAGUUUGUAAAAGGUCACAGAAGAAAUCACAGAAAAAUUAGACUGAGGUCCAAUAACUUUGUGCUUGCCCAGUAGGAGAGUAGCUGCCCCUUGUGCUACGCCUGUACCCUUUAGAUCCAAAUCCCUUUUCCUUAGUGCAGUUGAAAAAUAUUCCAAUAAACCUUGAUUUGCUGGGACCUCAUUCCCGCGUCACCACCAGCUGUGUGCUGUAGCAGAGGAGAUGUGGAACAAUAAUAUAACAGCUUUGGAGCUCUGUUAUUUUUCAUUCAGGCUGAACACCACAGGUGUCCUUCCUGGCACCCUGUGGUGGAGGCUGAUUCUCUAAGCAGAUUUUGGAAGCAAAGAUCUCUUGGACAAGUUUCCUACAGAAGCAUAAAGCCGCUCCCACCAAACUGAAGAACCAAAACCUUGCCACUGUGUUUACGUGCUCACAGUGACAUGAAGUCCUUUAGUACAACUCAAGGCCAUGCCCAACUUCAUAGAAAUGAAGUUUCCAAAUUCUUUGAAGCAGUUAAACUUUGACGAAAAGCUGUACUGCACUGCUGAGACCUUUCAUUGAACUAAAGCAUCCGGUUUUCAGAGUGACAGGGUGACAUUGAGGAAAUCACAAUUAAGUUCUUCAAACGUGUUAUUUUAUAGGUAGUAUCCUCCAAGGCCUGAUCCAAAGUGCUCUGUACUCAGUAGGAACCAUUCCACCUCAGGGCUCACUCAAUGUUUUCCAGCAUGCUCUGUCUCUGGUAAUAUUUCAAGCAGUUUAUUACAGAAUUGCAUAAUGCAAUAUGCAUUGCUCGUGUGGGUAGAAACCUUUAUAUCAACAGUCUAGAUAAAUGCCAGCACUGCUAUCAUAAUACACUUCAAUAGAGGUAAGAAAUAUAGUGAUGUGUUUACAAAUUUGAUCCAUUCAGAGCCCUGGGCUGUAGUAACUUAUAUAUAGGAGCAUUUAUGUAGAAAACCACUGGAGCAUAUGCAUGAUUAUUUAUCAAGAUGCUCUAUGUAUGGUGUUGGUAUUAUGCAUUAUGCUUGAUAUAACAGGAAUAAACACUUCAUGAAAGAACACAAAGGACACCAGAAAGGUAUAUCACAAACAUAUUUUUAUAAUGAACCCACAGAGUAUUUAUGCUGUAGAUUCCACAUAAAGUGUGUGUGAGCUAGCCAAGUACAGCCCUCCCAAAACCAGGUAAGCAGUACAGUUUUAUAAUGAUGAUAUAACUGAAAGAGCCUUCAUUGACUUUAAGUACAAACCUUAUGCUUUCUAAUGUUCCUUCAACUUCCUUGUCACGUAAAGGUCAGUCCACAGCACAGUAGAAGGAAUGGAUGUAUAUCUACGAUACGCACAGCAGAUUUAAGCAUUUGUACUCAUUUGGGUUUAGCCAACUAUGCUGUGCAGUGAGUGGCAAAUGUAUUAUUCUGUUGUGCCAUAUAAAGUAUUAUUCCAGGUGUUUGAAAUAAUGCAUACAGUUAAAGGUUAUGGCAGAAUAACAUUAAAGAAAUUCACUGUUUCUUGGCCUGAUGGUAGUAUGGAUGAUAAAAAGGAGAUGGUUAUUACAGCCUUGAAGCAUUACAGUUAUUUUGCUAUGAUAAUAGUCCUCAGAUUUUGUUAUAGCCCUAGUAUGUUACCUGAAAGUUAAAAUGCAAUUUACAGGUCUGUGAUCUCUUAUUGUCUAGAAUGUAAUUUCUAAAAGAAAAUGAGUGGUGAUCUUGAGGAUAAAUCCUGGUUUCUUUAAACUUGUUUUUUCUUUUCUUUUUUUUUUUUUGUAAGAGGAGGUUUAUUCCUCAGAGAAUGAAUCAAUCCAGGAUUGUCACUUCUAGAUUGAAAUACGCCAAGAUGAAUAUCUCUUCCACUUCAUACUGUUAUCACUCUUUGUUACCAACUUAUUAUGGACUACAGGUAGCAAGUGCUUCUGGACUUACAGCAAUACACCAAAGGUGUCAGAUGGCCAGGAGCUUCCAACCAGACCCUGCAUGAUUUGAGUGGCCCAAUGGAUUGUUUUGGUUCUACUUGUGAGCUAUUUUGAAAUAUUACAGUGUCCAUUACCGCAGUAUUAGCACUUCACUGUCCUUAAUGCUGUUUAAUCCAUCAGUUUUAGAGUCCCAAACCAAGGACUCCCUGCCAGCAGUCACCGCUACCGAUGCAGUGCACACUGUCAGAUUGCAACCUUGGCCAUAACAAGGUCAUGUAAUAAAGCACAUGACAGAGGAAAGACUGUAAUAAUAAUUAUUUCCAUUGUGUAUAAUAAAUAAUAUAAUAAAGCUUAGUUGUAAGCAUUAGAAGAGCCGUGAAAGUCAAGGCAGAUCUUUUGUGUUUGAUUCUCUCCUUCUGUGUACAGAAAUAAGAAAAAAAAAAAGGAAAAGAAUUGGUAGAAUGUUCCAGCUAAAGCAGAGCUGGUUCCAGAGAAGCUGAGAAAGAAAUGAGAUGGUGUCUCAACUAUGGCAAUGCAGAAUAGAAACUUAAUAUUUGUUCUGCAGUUUGUGUUCUGCGUUACUUUACUUUAAGGGACUGGGAAGUGUUUGAUUGAAAAAGGACUCCUUUCCCAGGGUGUAUCACUCAUCCAGAUUUCCCUUUGUAACUCGGGGUACUCAAAGUCAUUUCUUCCACCAAAAUCUGUCUGAUAUCUCUGUCUUUCUGGAGCUUCACACAUGACUGGAAAUCAAGCAUUCAAGGCAAAUACUACAGUUAAGUAUUAAACCUGACAGUUUUAUAUGUCUAGUACAAUAAUUGAUUCCAUGUUAUGCUAACCUACUCCACAGGUUAAAGCAGUGAGGGACAGCUCCAUCUCAUACAGGAGUCCCUGAAUUAUUAUUUUUAAGGUAUUUAAAAGCACCGAGGCAAUUCACAUUUCUAUUUUAUAAGCAUUUGUAUGGUUGAAGAAUAGAAUACAGGGAGCACUUGCA
rnacentral:lncRNA from 1 species